CCUACGGGUGGCAGCAGUGGGGAAUAUUGCGCAAUGGGCGAAAGCCUGACGCAGCGACGCCGCGUGAGGGAUGAAGGUCUUCGGAUCGUAAACCUCUGUCAGCAGGGAAGAACGGUCACUGUGCUAAUCAGCAGUGAAUUGACGGUACCUGCAACGGAAGCACCGGCUAACUCCGUGCCAGCAGCCGCGGUAAUACGGAGGGUGCGGGCGUUAAUCGGAAUUACUGGGCGUAAAGCGCUCGUAGGCGGUAUGUCAAGUCAAGGGUGAAAUCCCCGCGCCCAACGUGGGAACUGGCUUUGAAACUGGCAAAGUUGAGUGGGGGAGAGGAUAGUGGAAAUCCAGGUGUAGGAGGGAAAUCCGGAGA
rnacentral:rRNA from 1 species